rnacentral:rRNA from 1 species
UACGGAGGAUGCAAGCGUUAUCCGGAAUUAUUGGGCGUAAAGCGUCCGCAGGUGGCAGUUCAAGUCUGCUGUCAAAGACCGGGGCUUAACUUCGGAAAGGCAGUGGAAGCUGAACAGCUAGAGUAUGGUAGGGGCAGAGGGAAUUCCUGGUGUAGCGGUGAAAUGCGCAGAUAUCAGGAGGAACACCAAUGGCGAAGGCAGCUCGCUGGGAAGGUACUGACGCUGAGGCGCGAAAGCGUGGGGAGCAAACAGG